rnacentral:rRNA from 1 species
CCUACGGGAGGCUGCAGUCGAGAAUCAUUCACAAUGGGGGAAACCCUGAUGGGGCGACGCCGCGUGGGGGAAUGAAGGGCUGCGGAGUGUAAACCCCUGUCAUGGGGGAGCAAAUUAAAAAGAUAGUACCACAAGAGGAAGAGACGGCUAACUCGGGGCCAGCAGCCGCGGUAAGCCAGAGGUCUCAAGCGUUGUUCGGAACCACUGGGCGUAAAGCGUGCGUAGGCUGUUUCGUAAGUCGUGUGUGAAAGGCGCGGGCUCAACCCGCGGACGGCACCUGAUACUGCGAGACUAGAGUAGUGGAGGGGGAACCGGAAUUCUCGGUGUAGCCGUGAAAUGCGUAGAUAUCGAGAGGAACACUCGUGGCGAAGGCGGGUUCCUGGACAUUAACUGACGCUGAGGCACGAAAGCCAGGGGAGCGAACAGGAUUAGAUACCCGAGUAGUC